AAGUAUUUCUUAUUCUGAUCCUGCUUGCUCAUGCCAUGGCAACGCCAUUCCUGCUAGUGUACUGCUUGGCCCCC